GCGCCUCCAUUUGCGUUGGUAGAGCGCAACCUUGCCAAGGUUGAGGUCACGAGUUCGAACCUCGUGUGUCGCUCCA
rnacentral:tRNA from 1 species